UGAAUACGAGAUGCUACGGCGUCGAAGCAGUCUAUGUCAUACUUCCAAGAAAAGCUUGCACUGUCAUAAACAAAUAGUGCCUGUACCAUAACCGACACAGGUGGGUAGGUAGAGUAUACUAAGGGGCGCGAGAUAACUCUCUCUAAGGAACUCGGCAAAAUGACUCCGUAACUUCGGGAGAAGGAGUGCCUUAUUUAUAAGGUUGCAAUAACAAGAUCCAAGCAACUGUUUACCAAAAACACAGGUCUCCGCUAAGUCGUAAGACGAUGUAUGGGGGCUGACGCCUGCCCAGUGCCAGAAGGUUAAAGAAGUUGGUUAGCAUCCGCGAAGCUGAUAACUGAAGCCCUGGUGAACGGCGGCCGUAACGAUAACGGUCCUAAGGUAGCGAAAUUCCUUGUCGGGUAAGUUCCGACCCGCACGAAAGGCGUAAUGAUUUGGAUACUGUCUCGGAGAGGGGCUCGGUGAAAUAGACUUGUCUGUGAAGAUGCGGACUACCUGCACCAGGACAGAAAGACCCUAUGAAGCUUUACUGUAACCUGAAAUUGAAAUUGGACUUUACUUGCGCAGUAUAGGUGGGAGGCGUUGAGAAUAUUCUUGCGGGAUUAUUGGAGCCAUCAGUGAGAUACCACUCUUGUAAUGUUAGAUUUCUAACUUUGUAUCAUUAUCUGGUCAAAGAACAGUUUCAGGCGGGCAGUUUGACUGGGGCGGUCGCCUCCUAAACGGUAACGGAGGCGCACAAAGGUUUCCUCUGAACGGGUAGAAAUCGUAUCUAGAGUGUAAAGGCAUAAGGAAGCUUGACUGUGAGACCUACAAGUCGAGCAGGGACGAAAGUCGGUCUUAGUGAUCUGACGGUGCUGAGUGGAAAGGCCGUCACUCAACGGAUAAAAGUUACUCUAGGAUAACAGGCUGAUCUCCCCCAAGAGUUCACAUCGACGGGGAGGUUUGGCACCUCGAUGUCGGCUCAUCGCAUCCUGGGGCGGUAGUACGUCCCAAGGGUUGGGCUGUUCGCCCAUGAAAGCGGUACGCGAGCUGGGUUCAGAACGUCGUGAGACAGUUCGGUCCAUAUCCGGUGUAGGCGUUAGAAUAUUGAGAGGAGCCUUCUUUAGUACGAGAGGACCGAGAAGGACAUACCUCUGGUGUACCAGUUAUCGUGCCAACGGUAAACGCUGGGUAGCUAUGUGUGGAGUGGAUAACCGCUGAAAGCAUCUAAGUGGGAAGCCCACCUCAAGAUAAG
rnacentral:rRNA from 1 species